rnacentral:tRNA from 1 species
AGACCCAUAGCUCAAUGGUCAGAGCAAACGUCUUAUACACGGGAGGUUCUAGGUUCAAAUCCUAGUGGGUCUACCA